rnacentral:rRNA from 1 species
UACGGAGGGGGCUAGCGUUGUUCGGAUUUACUGGGCGUAAAGCGCACGUAGGCGGAUCUUUAAGUCAGAGGUGAAAUCCCAAGGCUCAACCUUGGAACUGCCUUUGAUACUGGGGAUCUCGAGUCCGGGAGAGGUGAGUGGAACUGCGAGUGUAGAGGUGAAAUUCGUAGAUAUUCGCAAGAACACCAGUGGCGAAGGUGGCUCACUGGCCCGGUACUGACGCUGAGGUGCGAAAGCGUGGGGAGCAAACAGG